rnacentral:SRP_RNA from 1 species
GAUGCCAGGCAAUCAGUGCCUCCCAACCCCGCCAGGACAGGAAUGUAGCAACGGUCAGAGGAAUACGAUGUGACCAGGAUUAUUU